UAUUUUUAAUAAUAAUAAUAAUAAGUCCGCAAGGCAGCUUGUGGCGAGCUUCCGCAAGGCAGCUUGUGGCGAGCUGUUGGGCAGUGGCGACCCCACGGACCUGACUCCCGGGAGAGGCCCUACUUUUUAACUCCGGUUGGUACUCGUGACUAUCCGGAGUGGCCUCUCCUACCUCACUCUUGCCUUAAUCGGCUGGUUUGAGUGGAGAUUCGCAAGAGUGGAGUUGCCUUCAGCUCCACUUGGGGGAAGGACGUAUCCCAGUAAGAUGCUGGUAGGGGUCUUGACCGUACUUCCGGGAUUGCUCUGAUAGCCGUGGGAUGCCUCCCCUUCCUCAAGCAGCUCAACGGAUGUUGCUUCCCUUGUCGCUACAUGCUAGCGGCCGUUUCCGGGGGCCCACUAUUGAGUUUGCGAGUCACCCCCUGCCUGUUUAUCCGUAUUUUUCAAUAUUGGUCAGGGGCAGGGGCCAUAGUCCCCAUAGUUAACCGGUUAACUAUUCCACAGCCACCCACACCCAUAUCCCUAUCAUUUCCUUUUACCAUAUCUCACAAUAGUCCUGCAUCAACCGGGGAUUGUCCUUUGGUGUACUUCCAUAGUGCAUACAGGGAUAAUCGCCGGCUGAUGUCCCAUUACAUUUAGAUUAAAAUUGUUCAACGGGCCUCUGCGAGUUGGCUUCGGCCCCUCGUACGCCUUCCAAAGGUCCGGGACCCUGUGGUCCCGUGAUUAUGUAAAGAACAAACAUAAUAAUAA